UACGAAGGGGGCUAGCGUUGCUCGGAAUCACUGGGCGUAAAGCGCACGUAGGCGGCUUUCUAAGUCAGGGGUGAAAUCCUGGAGCUCAACUCCAGAACUGCCUUUGAUACUGGGGAGCUCGAGUCCGGAAGAGGUGAGUGGAAUUCCUGGUGUAGCGGUGAAAUGCGCAGAUAUCAGGAAGAACACCUAUGGCGAAGGCAGCUCUCUGGGACGGUACUGACGCUGAGACGCGAAAGCGUGGGGAGCGAACAGG
rnacentral:rRNA from 1 species